rnacentral:tRNA from 1 species
AGAUUUAUAUUUUAUUUAAAAUAUGUUGCUUACACCAACAAGAAAGAUACCUUAUCUUAAAUCUA